rnacentral:ncRNA from 1 species
GACUUAAUUUUUGAGCCUUAGUAAAGAAAUUUACUAAGUGACUGUUUUCACAUUCAGGGAAACCUAAGGUUUUAGAUAUGAGGCAAUCCUGAGCCAAAUUUAAAUUAUAAAAUAGGUGCAGAGACUCAAAGGAAACUAUCCUAACGAAAAAUUUUUUUAUUUCUUAUUAUUACUAAGUAUCGCUUAAAGUUACAAUAUAAGAUAUAUAUUAAAAUAAUAAAAACAUCUAUAAAUACUAAAUAUAAAUAGUAUUUUUUGAAUAACUUUUAAUAGACGAGGAUAAAGAUAGAGUCCUUUUUAUAAUCUAUAUAAUUUUUACUUAAAGUAGAUUAAAAAAGAAAAUCCGUUGGCUUUAAUAGACCUUGAGGGUUCAAGUCCCUCUACCCCCA